CCUACGGGAGGCUGCAGUGGGGAAUAUUGCACAAUGGGGGAAACCCUGAUGCAGCGACGCCGCGUGAGUGAAGAAGUAAUUCGUUAUGUAAAGCCCUAUCAGCCGGGAAGCAAAUGACGGUACCUGAGUACGAAGCCCCGGCUAACUACGUGCCAGCAGCCGCGGUAAUACGGAGGGGGCAAGCUUUAUCCGGAUUUACUGGGUGUAAAGGGAGCGUAGACGGCAGUGCAAGUCUGGAGGGAAAGGCUGGGGGUGAACCCCCGGGCUGCUCUUGAAACUGUACGGCUGGAGUGCAGGAGAGGUAAGGGGAAUUCCUAGUGUAGCGGUGAAAUGCGUAGAUAUUAGGAGGAACACCAGUGGCGAAGGCGGCUUACUGGACUGUAACUGACGUUGAGGCUCGAAAGCGUGGGGAGCAAACAGGAUUAGAUACCCUGGUAGUC
rnacentral:rRNA from 1 species